GACGAACGCUGGCGGCGUGCUUAACACAUGCAAGUCGAACGGAAAGGCCCUGCUUUUGUGGGUUGCUCGAGUGGCGAACGGGUGAGUAACACGUGAGUAACCUGCCCUUGACUUUGGGAUAACUCCAGGAAACUGGGGCUAAUACCGGAUAGGAGCUCCUGCUGCAUGGUGGGGGUUGGAAAGUUUCGGCGGUUGGGGAUGGACUCGCGGCUUAUCAGCUUGUUGGUGGGGUAGUGGCUUACCAAGGCUUUGACGGGUAGCCGGCCUGAGAGGGGGACCGGCCACAUUGGGACUGAGAGACGGCGCAGACGCCUACGGGAGGCAGCAGUGGGGAAUAUUGCACAAUGGGCGGAAGCCUGAUGCAGCAACGCCGCGUGCGGGAUGACGGCCUUCGGGUUGUAAACCGCUUUCGCCUGUGACGAAGCGUGAGUGACGGUAAUGGGUAAAGAAGCACCGGCUAACUACGUG
rnacentral:rRNA from 1 species